rnacentral:lncRNA from 1 species
UCCGAGUCCGGCGGACGAAGUUGGCCAGCCCCACCCCCCAAGGGUAUAGCCCACCCGUUUUUGUGGCCUUUUUCCGCUGGACGAAUUUGGCGCCCCGGCCUUCGGGCGGUUAUUUUUGGGUACGGCUGUGUCCGCGGCCUAUUUUGGGCACACGGAGGCCCCUCGCAAAGUCUCGCGGCAUUCCGAGUCCUGCGGACGAAGUUGGCCAGCCGCACCCCCCAAGGCUAUAGCCCACCCGUUUUUGUGGCCUUUUUCCGCUGGACAAACUUGGCGCCCCGGCCUUUGGUCGGUUAUUUUUGGGCGCGGCUUUUCCCGCGGCCUUUUUUUGGCACACGGAGGCCCCUCGGAAAGUCUCGCGGCAUUCCGAGUCCGGCGGACGACGUUGGCCAGCCCCACCCCCCAAGGCAAUAGCCCACCCGUUUUUGCGGCCUUUUUCCGCUGGACGAACUUUCCGCCCCGGCCUUCGGGCGGUUAUUUUUGGGCGCGGUUUGCCUUCAGCCUAUUUUGGGGACACGGAAGCCCCUCGCAAAGUCUCGCGGCAUUCCGAGUCCGGCGGACGAAGUUGGCCAGCCCCACCCCCCAAGGCUAUAGCCCACCCGUUUUUGUUGCCUUUUUCCGCCGAACGAACCUGGCGCCCCGGCCUUCGCGCGGUUAUUUUUGGGCGCGGCAUUGCCCGCAGCCUAUUUUUGGCACACGGAGGCCCCUCGCAAAGUCUCAUGGCAUUCCGAGUCCGGCGGACGAAGUUGGCCAGCCCCACCCCCCAAGGCUAUAGCCCACCCGUUUUUGUGGCCUUUUUCCGCUGGACGAACUUGGCGCCCCGGCAUUCGGGCGGUUAUUUUUGGGUACGGCUGUGCCCGCGACUGAUUUUUGGUACACGGAGGCCGCUCGCAAAGUCUCGCACCAUUCCGAGUCCGGCGGACGAAGUGGGCCAGCCCCACCCCCCAAGGCUAUAGCCCACCCGUUUUUGUGGCCUUUUUCUGCUGGACGAACUUGGCGCCCCAUCCUUUGGGCGGUUAUUUUUGGGUGUGGCUGUGGCCGCGGCAUAUUCUUGGCACACGGAGGCUGCUCGCAAAGUCUCGCGGCAUUCCGAGUCCGGCGGACGAAUUUGGCUAGCCCCACCCCCCAAUGCUAUAGCCCACCCGUUUUUGUGGCCUUUUUUCGCUGGACGAACUUGGCGCCCCGGCCUUCUGGCGGUUAUUUUUAUGCGCGGCUGUGACCACGGCCUAUUUUUGGCACACGGAGGCACCUCGCAAAGUCUCGCGCCAUUCCGAGUCCGGCGGACGAAGUUGGCCAGCCCCACCCCCCAAGGCUAUAGCCCACCCGUUUUUGUGGCCUUUUUCCGCUGGACGAACUUGGCGCCCCGGCCUUCGGGAGGUUAUUUUUGGGUACGGCUGUGCCGGCGACCUAUUUUUGGUACACGGAGGCCGCUCGCAAAGUCUCGCACCAUUCCGAGUCCGGCGGACGAAGUUGGCCAGCCCCACCCCCCAAGGCUAUAGCCCACCCGUUUUUGUGGCCUUUUUCCGCCGGACAAACUUGGCGCCCCGGCCUUCGGGCGAUAAUUUUUGGGCGCGGCUUUGCCCGCAGCCUUAUUUUUGGCACACGGAGGCCCCUCGCAAAGUCUCGCGCCAUUCCGAGUCCGCGGACGAGUUGCCAGCCCCACCCCCCCAGCUAUAGCCCACCCGUUUUUGUGGNNNNNNNNNNNNNNNNNNNNNNNNNNNNNNNNNNNNNNNNNNNNNNNNNNNNNNNNNNNNNNNNNNNNNNNNNNNNNNNNNNNNNNNNNNNNNNNNNNNNNNNNNNNNNNNNNNNNNNNNNNNNNNNNNNNNNNNNNNNNNNGCCCCACCCCCCAAGGCUAUAGCCCACCCGUUUUUGUGGCCUUUUUCCGUUGGACGAACUUGGCGUCCCGGCCUUCGGGCGGUUCUUUUUGGGCAUGGCUUUGCCCGCGGCCUAUAUUCGGCACACGGAGGCCCCUCGCAAAGUCUCGCGGCAUUCCGAGUCCGGCGGACGAAGUUAGCCAGCCCCACCCCCCAAGGCUAUAGCCCACCCGUUUUUGUGGCCUUUUUCCGCUGGACGAACUUGGCGCCCCGGCCUUCGGGCGGUUAUUUUUGGGCGUGGCUUUGCCCACGGCCUAUUUUUGGCACACGGAGGCCCCUGGCAAAGUCUCGCGGCAUUCCGAGUCCGGCGAACGAAGUUGGCCAGCCCCACCCCCCAAGGCUAUAGCCCACCCGUUUUUGUGGCCUUUUUCCGCUGGACGAACUUGGCGCCAAUGCCUUCAGGCGGUUAUUUUUAGGCGCGGCUUUGCCCGCGGCCUAUUUUUGGCACACGGAGGCCCCUCACAAAGUCUCGGGGCAUUCCGAGUCCGGCGGACGAAGUGGGCCAGCCCCACAACGCUAUAUCCCACCCGUUUUUGUGGCCUUUUUCCGCUGGACGAACUUUGCGCCCCGGCCUUCGGGCGGUUAUUUUUCGGCGCGGCUUUGACCGCGGCCUAUUUUUGGUACACGGAGGCCCCUCGCAAAGUCUCGCGCCAUUCCGAGUCCGGCGGACGAAGUUGGCCAGCCCCACCCCCCAAGGCUAUAGCCCUUCCGUUUUUGUGGCCUUUUUCCGCUGGACGAACUUGGCGCCCCGGCCUUCGGGCGGUUAUUUUUGGGCGCGGCUGUGCCCGCGGCCUAUUUUUGGCACACGGAGGCCCCUCGCAAAGUCUCGCGGCAUUCCGAGUCCGGCGGACGAAGUUGGCCAGCCCCUCCCCCCAAGGCUAUAGCCCACCCGUUUUUGUGGCCUUUUUCCGCUGGACGAACUUGGCGCCCCGGCCUUCGGGCGGUUAUUUUUGUGCGUGGCUUUGCCCGCGUCCUAUUUUUGGAACACGGAGGCCCCUCGCAAAGUCUCGCAGCAUUCCGAGUCCGGCGGACGAAGUUGACCAGCCCCACCCCUCAAGGCUAAAGCCCACCCGUUUUUGUGGCCUUUUUCCGCUGGACGAACUUGGCGCCCCGGCCUUCGGGCGGUUAUUUUUGUGCGCGGUUUUGUCCACAGCCUAUUUUUGGCACACGAAGGCCCCUCGCAAAGUCUCGCGCCAUUCCGAGUCCGGCGGACGAAGUUGGCCAGCCCCACCCCCCAAGGCUAUAGCCCACCCGUUUUUGUGGCCUUUUUCCGCUGGAAGAACUUGGCGCCCCGGCCUUCGGGAUGUUAUUUUUGGGCACGGCUUUGCCCGUGGGCUAUUUUCGGCACACGGAGGCCCCUCGCAAAGUCUCGCUGCAUUCCGAGUCCGGCGGACGAAGUUGGCCAGCCCCACCCCCCAAGGCUAUAGCCCACCCGUUUUUGUGGCCUUUUUCCGCUGGACGAACUUGGCGCCACGGCCUUCGGGCGGUUAUUUUUGGGU